ACCAGUUCUAUUCAGUAUAUUUUAUGCAUUUACAUAGCAGACUUGCUAGCUUUGACCACAUUAGGAUGCCAUGAACCUUCUUUGGAUAUGUUAAUUCUGCCCCCCUUGCCCCUACUAACAAAAGGCAAGAGGGGCAGCUGCCCCUCCUGCCCCCCCCCCCAGCAUCCCUGCUUGCAAUAUAACCAAACUUAUGGAAUGCAUCAACAGUUUUCACAUAAGUUGCAAUUGCAUUUGGAUCAUGUAAAUUGUCUGGUUCUUUUUCCAACUGCACAUAGACUGGCCUAUUAUACUCAUUUAGGUACUCGAACGCUUCCUCUAAUAUGUCUUUCACCUGAAUGACAUGAUCCAAGAACUUAAAGUGGAACAGUGUGCACUUCACUUUCAAUUUGCUCUUCUUCAAUGCUUUGUCUCGCCAUACCUGCUGCACUCUCAUCUCUAGCCUCGCUUACUUUUGUUAUUUUCCAUAAACAAUGUACUCAAUUCCAUCAAUUGUAAUUUUGCAGUGCGACGUACAUUUAAAUUUUCCUGGGCAGAUGUCAGUGGAUCUUCUAAUUAGAGCAUCUGCAUUGCCAGAGUUUAGCACUACAUUUAUUCAUUUAAAUUCUAUGGGCAAUGGACAUAACAGGGAAGGUUGAUAUAGUCCAUGAGAACCAUGAGUCUGCAAUGCUUGUAAUGGUCCCAACUAUUUCACCUGCAAUUACACAAAAUAAGUUCAUACAAGCUUAAGUUAUGAUGGCC
rnacentral:lncRNA from 1 species